CGCGAAGUCAAGGAAACCGGUGCAUGCGUGACGCUUGUGCUGCUCCGGUGCCGAAGCUACGCAAGA
rfam:Leptomonas seymouri strain ATCC 30220 Lsey_0045, whole genome shotgun sequence.